ACCAUAAAAUGAUUGGCCACAGUCAAUCACUGGCACAUGGCAUUCUUCAAUUGAUCAUGACUAUGCAUGCUCCUUAAAAAUCCCACACAACAUGGUCCUAUCCCAUAACUACCCCUACAGAUGCACACUUUCUCUGUGAAAGCCACUUUCUUCAUUGCAUUUUCUCCAUAAUAAACAUGCAAGGAAUAUGUAUACUUAAUAACAGUAUUCAGUAUCGCACAUGAACCACAGACAACCAAGUGAAAUAGAGAAUCAUCAAAGUACACAUGUAAAGUAAUGGUAAAAAAAUUAGAGCAAAAGACAAUUUUAAAAAGAAAAAAACAUAAAAGGAUUAUAAGAG
rnacentral:misc_RNA from 1 species